GGCUGGUGGAAGGCAGUAAGUUAUCUCAGCCAGUGUUCUCACAGGCUGUUACAGAGCCAGCUCCUGCUGCUCUCUCCCCUUUCUCACUACUGCGCUUGACUAGCCUGAA
ensembl:misc_RNA Y_RNA Y RNA